GACGAACGCUGGCGGCGUGCCUAAUACAUGCAAGUUGAGCGCUGAAGGUUGGUACUUGUUCCAACUGGAUGAGCAGCGAACGGGUGAGUAACGCGUGGGGAAUCUGCCUUUGAGCGGGGGACAACAUUUGGAAACGAAUGCUAAUACCGCAUAAAAACUUUAAACACAAGUUUUAAGUUUGAAAGAUGCAAUUGCAUCACUCAAAGAUGAUCCCGCGUUGUAUUAGCUAGUUGGUGAGGUAAAGGCUCACCAAGGCGAUGAUACAUAGCCGACCUGAGAGGGUGAUCGGCCACAUUGGGACUGAGACACGGCCCAAACUCCUACGGGAGGCAGCAGUAGGGAAUCUUCGGCAAUGGACGAAAGUCUGACCGAGCAACGCCGCGUGAGUGAAGAAGGGUUUCGGAUCGUAAAACUCUGUUGGUAGAGAAGAACGUUGGUGAGAGUGGAAAGCUCAUCAAGUGACGGUAACUACCCAGAAAGGGACGGCUAACUACGUG
rnacentral:rRNA from 1 species